AUGAUUUUGGACUCAGUCUCCCAUGCCAUGUCCUUCCUCUUGACGAUCUUUCCUGCUUCCUUCAUUUUCAGAAAAUUACCUGUGUCAUGUUCUCAAACACAGAAUGGCAACCUCAGCUGAAAGACAAGGGAAGCUCGAAAGCACCAUGGACGUUAAAUAAAACCUUUAUUUCAUCUGCGGUCAAGUCAAGACUUGCAGCAGCCGUAAUGGGGCCUUCAAGAUGUGUCAUCCGCCUUGAAAAUCUGAAAGUAUUUUCCUGAAGGAAAAGAGCUGAGCCAGCAAAAAUGCCCAAGGUCUGUGUUCCAGAAGGGCUUUCCUGCCAGCUGAAUUUCAAGGAGAUGAGAGAUAACGCCUCAGUCUGGCGGUGGCAUCGGAGGGAUCCUGCUUGU